UUUCCGUAGGUGAACCUGCGGAAGGAUCAUUAUAAAUGCAAAACGAAUAACUUCAGGGAAGAAGGGAACCUGCACGGUGCCCUCCCCUGCCGGGCCACCCAAUACCUUCAAAAUGCCGCCGUCAUAGCGGUGGCAGACGAAAAAAAAACAAGAAAAACAAAAUAGAAGCAGGCACGGUGGCCCGUCCACCCUCACACAACCCCCCGCGGACCGCUUCCAUGUGGCUUCCCCGCAAAUCCACCUCUUCGGGGAGCGCGGGGGAGGUCCGCAUCAAAUUCCCCUGAAUGUUACAGCAGUCAGACAGCCAUUCAUGGAAACAAUAAAACUUUCAACAACGGAUCUCUUGGUUCCC
rnacentral:misc_RNA from 1 species